CGCUACGGACUUAAAAUCCGUCAACUUUAAAAAUCGGGA
rnacentral:tRNA from 1 species